rnacentral:rRNA from 1 species
AGUCUGCAACCCGACUACAUGAAGCCGGAAUCGCUAGUAAUCGCGGAUCAGAAUGCCGCGGUGAAUACGUUCCCGGGUCUUGUACACACCGCCCGUCACACCAUGGGAGUCGGAAAUGCCCGAAGCCGGUGACCCAACCCGAAAGGGAGGGAGCCGUCGAAGGCAGGUCGGAUGACUGGGGUGAAGUCGUAACAAGGUAGC